AUUGAACGCUGGCGGCAGGCCUAACACAUGCAAGUCGAACGGUAACAGGAAGAAGCUUGCUUCUUUGCUGACGAGUGGCGGACGGGUGAGUAAUGUCUGGGAAACUGCCUGAUGGAGGGGGAUAACUACUGGAAACGGUAGCUAAUACCGCAUAAUGUCGCAAGACCAAAGAGGGGGACCUUCGGGCCUCUUGCCAUCGGAUGUGCCCAGAUGGGAUUAGCUAGUAGGUGGGGUAACGGCUCACCUAGGCGACGAUCCCUAGCUGGUCUGAGAGGAUGACCAGCAACACUGGAACUGAGACACGGUCCAGACUCCUACGGGAGGCAGCAGUGGGGAAUAUUGCACAAUGGGCGCAAGCCUGAUGCAGCUAUGCCGCGUGUAUGAAGAAGGCCUUCGGGUUGUAAAGUACUUUCAGUGGGGAGGAAGGGAGUAAAGUUAAUACCUUUGCUCAUUGACGUUACCCGCAGAAGAAGCACCGGCUAACUCCGUG
rnacentral:rRNA from 1 species